AUAGACUGUAUUCCAUAGUGUCGUAGCAAGAACAAAUAGGGGAGGAUGAAGACUGUCAGGGCUACAAAUUACUAGCAUACCCUUACUUCCGGGUGACGCGCAGGAAUGAAGAAACAUGCUGGAAGAGGCGCAAAACCACGAUAACACAGUACAAAAACUGUUUCCGCUAGUGUAGCAAGUGGAGUGAAUGAAAAAACAUGCUCGAAGAGGCGUAAAACCACGAUAACACAGUACAAAAACUGUUUCCGCUAGUGUAGCAAGUGAAGUUCCCCCGCUUUAAGAACAUUUGGGUAUUUUAUUAAACUGCGCACUUUGAACUCAA